rnacentral:lncRNA from 1 species
UUCGUUAGUCGCUGCGGUCGUCGGAUUUCAGAGGGCGGCGGCGGUAGGGGCGGCGACCUCCUGCCGUUGUUCGGCCUUCAAACGACGGCGAGUGCGGCCUUCAAACGACGGCGGCGGUGGCGGUUAGAGAGAAGAGAGGUUAGAGAGAAGAGAGAGCAGCCUUGAGAGGGUGAGUGUGCGGUGUGGGUGUGCGACAGAGGGAACGAGAGAGAGAGA